ensembl:lincRNA
AUUGACAGUAAAUUUUCCCAAUUAUAGACGAGACUCGGACCAUUUGCCCAAUAAACUCCGAGAUUCAGGAGAGGGGCGGGAAUUUUAAAUGUGUUGUUGUUGCUCUGCGUUUAAGAAACAGUAAGGAUUUAUUAUUUAGCCAGAAGUUACACUUAAUCGGUGUCGCUUUUCUUUGUGAAAAAUCCGAGGCGGCUUUUUUGUGCUUUAGCUGUAAACUGUUGCGGUUUGUAUCGUAUUGUGUUCGUCUGAGCACAUGAAAUCACGGCGGUACGUUACACGAGUUGCUGUGGAAACUUUAUUUCUGCUUCAGACACGUUGAGCCUCAGUGAUCGUGAACCUUCGUGCAGAUGAAGAUGAUGAUGAAGCAGACGAUGAUGUUGAGACCCUCGUGUGUCGGAGCGCGUCUUCUAACUGUUACUGGAGAAACAAGACUGAAGCUCAGACCUUUCCAAAGGCUGAGUCCCUGAGCUGUGAGGAUCAUGAGGACCAGCUGGACAGUCCACUGUCCACUCCACAGCCCUGAGGAAGGAGCUCCUGUCCUCCUGUCAGGAUGUUCACCUUCCCUCCUGCACUGCUGUCACCCUGAGCUCCCAGACACAGGCGCUCUUACCUCCCUCCCUGUCCAGCCAGAGUCUGCUCCUCUUCUCCGGGAGCAGGCACACAGUCUGCCUCUUCCUUUCCUUGCUCAUCUCAGCACUGACAUUCCUGACUCCUGCAGAAGGGAGCACAGGGGAAAGACAGUGAUGUUUACAGCUGUAAGAGGUCAUGUUCAACAAAUGAGUGGCACCAUCUGCUCUAGACAUACUGCAGCCCCAAUACAGUGACAGUAUCUUUCUUGACAAAUUGGUGUGGAUCUACACACUGGGUGCAGGGGUCUCCAGCCCCAGACCUGUUGCUCUUGUAAGUCACCUUUAAAAGCGGCAGUUCCUUACAGAUGAGGAACACUUCUUUAAGCAGUUGAUCAGCACAGCAAAGAGACAUCCUUGAGUCCUCAAGAAUUAAUAUUUGGAUUUGUUCCCGAUCGUCUCUAAAGUACCUGAUUUAACUAAACAUAUAUACAUAUAUAUAAAUAUGUGAUCAGUUAAAUUGUCCCAGGCUUUUGGAAGGUGGUAAUUGAGGGUUACCUUUGAAACAUGCUGAAAACAUGUUGGACUGGGGCUUCUCGGGACCAGAGGGUAAGACCUCCUGACUUCCAUAUACAAACUUACUCUACCCAAAUCCAUAAAUCAUUCUUCUUCCCCCCUGAGAUGUACUCUGUUGGGUAGUCUGGGUUAUUACACGACAUGCUCAUGAUGCUUCAUCUUUCACUUGGAGCUCACUGGAGUUGACAGGCUCCCCAACACCCUCCUCUACUGAGCAAGUCAGGUUUAUCCUGACCUCAUGUGGACAUGUAAGAAAGGAGUAUUUUUCUCCUGAAAAUCUGGCUUUUCACUGCUGUUUUACAGCUUUAAAUAGUAGAUGUACCGGGUGAUUUAUGAGAUCAGUUAUCAGAACUCUUAUGCUUUUACAUCCAACUAUUAUUAAAGUUUAUUGACAGGAUCCAAGCUCUUGAGAAGCACCACCUCGUUUUCAUGGGGGGGGGCUUUUAGAAAACAUACCCAAACUACAGCUAUCACAACACAAAGAACAAAAGAAGAGAAAAGUAAAUAAAA